rnacentral:rRNA from 1 species
CACGGGGGGAGCAAGCGUUGUUCGGAAUCACUGGGCGUAAGGGCGUGUAGGCGGUCAAGUAAGUGGAAAUGUGAAACGCCUCGGCUUACCCGAGGACCUGCAUCCCAAACUGCUUGGCUUGAGUAUGGGAGAGGAUGAGGGAAUUCCUGGUGUAGCGGUGAAAUGCGUAGAUAUCAGGAGGAACACCGGUGGCGAAAGCGCUCAUCUGGCCCAAUACUGACGCUGAGGCGCGAAAGCUAGGGGAGCAAACGGG